GUAGUCCACGCCCUAAACGAUGUCUACUAGUUGUUGGUGGAGUAAAAUCCAUUAGUAACGCAGUUAACGCGUGAAGUAGACCGCCUGGGGAGUACGGUCGCAAGAUUAAAACUCAAAGGAGUUGACGGGGGCCCGCACAAGCGGUGGAUUAUGUGGAUUAAUUCGAUGCAACGCGAAAAACCUUACCUGGCCUUGACAUGCCACUAACGAAGCAGAGAUGCAUUAGGUGCCCGAAAGGGAAAGUGGACACAGGUGCUGCAUGGCUGUCGUCAGCUCGUGUCGUGAGAUGUUGGGUUAAGUCCCGCAACGAGCGCAACCCUUGCCAAUAAUUGCCAUCAUUUAGUUGGGCACUUUAUUGGGACUGCCGGUGACAAACCGGAGGAAGGUGGGGAUGACGUCAAGUCCUCAUGGCCCUUAUGGCCAGGGCUUCACACGUAAUACAAUGGUCGGUACAGAGGGUUGCCAACCCGCGAGGGGGAGCCAAUCCCAGAAAGCCGAUCGUAGUCCGGAUUGCAGUCUGCAACUCGACUGCAUGAAGUCGGAAUCGCUAGUAAUCGCGGAUCAGCAUGUCGCGGUGAAUA
rnacentral:rRNA from 1 species